rnacentral:rRNA from 1 species
GACGAACGCUGGCGGCGCGCUUAACACAUGCAAGUCGAACGGAAAGGCCUGCUUUCCCUUGUGGAUUGCGGGUACUCGAGUGGCGAACGGGUGAGUAACACGUGAGUGAUCUGCCCCCAACUUGGGUAUAAGCCUGGGAAACUGGGUCUAAUUCCCGAUAGGACUGCAGGGUGGUGCCUGUGGUGGAAAACGAUUUUCUAGUGGUUGGGGAUGAGCUCGCGGCCUAUCAGCUUGUUGGUGGGGUAAUGGCCUACCAAGGUGGCGACGGGUAGCCGGCCUGAGAGGGUGGACGGCCACAUUGGGACUGAGAUACGGCCCAGACUCCUACGGGAGGCAGCAGUGGGGAAUAUUGCACAAUGGGCGGAAGCCUGAUGCAGCGACGCCGCGUGGGGGAUGACGGCCUUCGGGUUGUAAACUCCUUUCGACCGCGAGGAAGCCACCUGGUUGGAAGGGUGGUGACGGUAGUGGUAGAAGAAGCACCGGCUAACUACGUG